GCGCCUGUAGCUCAGCUGGAUAGAGUAACUGGCUACGAACCAGUAGGUCAGGGGUUCGAAUCCCUUCAGGCGUACCA
rnacentral:tRNA from 1 species